CCAAACUUGGUCAUUUAGAGGAAGUAAAAGUCGUAACAAGGUUUCCGUAGGUGAACCUGCGGAAGGAUCAUUACAAGGUAUCAAAAAAAUGUCGCAAAUCGCGGCAUGAUAACCAUGAUCAUCCACCUGUGUGCACUUAUUCCGGGGGGGGGGGAAGAGAGGCUUUCUCUCUCUCUCCCCUCCCUAAACUUUUUCUCUUUGUCUUUGCCAUUUGUCUGAUGUAUCAAAUGCUUGAUAAAUUAAUACAACUUUCAACAACGGAUCUCUUGGCUCUCGCAUCGAUGAAGAACGCAGC
rnacentral:misc_RNA from 1 species